GAUGAACGCUGGCGGCGUGCCUAACACAUGCAAGUCGAGCGGCAGCGCGAGUAGUUUACUACUUGGCGGCGAGCGGCGGACGGCUGAGUAACGCGUGGGAAUUUGCCCCAAAGUGAGGAAUAACUGCCCGAAAGGGUGGCUAAUGCCGCAUAUGAUCUUCGGAUUAAAGGAUUUAUCCGCUUUGGGAGAAGCCCGCGUCGGAUUAGGUAGUUGGUGAGGUAAUGGCUCACCAAGCCGACGAUCCGUAGCUGGUCUGAGAGGAUGACCAGCCAGACUGGAACUGAGACACGGUCCAGACUCCUACGGGAGGCAGCAGUGAGGAAUCUUCCACAAUGGGCGAAAGCCUGAUGGAGCAACGCCGCGUGCAGGAUGAAGGCCUUCGGGUUGUAAACUGCUUUUAUAAGUGAGGAAUAUGACGGUAGCUUAUGAAUAAGGAUCGCUC
rnacentral:rRNA from 1 species